rnacentral:tRNA from 1 species
ACCUGGCUGGCUCAGUCGGUGGAGCACGCGACUCGAUCUUGGGGUUGUGAGUUCAAGUCCCACGCUGGGUG